rnacentral:rRNA from 1 species
ACAAUGAAGAGUUUGAUCCUGGCUCAGGAUGAACGCUAGCGGCAGGCCUAACACAUGCAAGUCGAGGGGCAGCGGGUGUAGCAAUACAUGCCGGCGACCGGCGCACGGGUGAGUAACGCGUAUGCAACCUACCUCUAACUGGGGGAUAGCUCUGAGAAAUCGGAAUUAAUACCCCAUAAUAUUCUUAUGAGGCAUCUCAAAAGAAUUAAAGCUCCGGCGGUUAGAGAUGGGCAUGCGUGCUAUUAGCUAGUUGGUGAGGUAAUGGCUCACCAAGGCUAUGAUGGCUAGGGGGUCUGAGAGGAUGAUCCCCCACAUUGGUACUGAGACACGGACCAGACUCCUACGGGAGGCAGCAGUGAGGAAUAUUGGUCAAUGGGCGCAAGCCUGAACCAGCCAUGCCGCGUGAAGGAUGAAGGCCCUAUGGGUCGUAAACUUCUUUUGUACGGGACGAAACCCCCGAUCGUGAUCGGGGCUGACGGUACUGUACGAAUAAGCAUCGGCUAACUCCGUGCCAGCAGCCGCGGUAAUACGGAGGAUGCAAGCGUUAUCCGGAUUCAUUGGGUUUAAAGGGUGCGUAGGCGGGAUAAUAAGUCAGUGGUGAAAGCCUACAGCUUAACUGUAGAAUUGCCAUUGAUACUGUUAUUCUUGAGUGUAGUUGAGGUAGCUGGAAUGUGUGGUGUAGCGGUGAAAUGCUUAGAUAUCACACAGAACACCGAUUGCGAAGGCAGGUUACUAAACUACAACUGACGCUGAGGCACGAAAGCGUGGGGAGCAAACAGGAUUAGAUACCCUGGUAGUCCACGCCCUAAACGUUGAUAACUCGCUGUUGGCGAUAUACUGCCAGUGGCUAAGCGAAAGCGUUAAGUUAUCCACCUGGGGAAUACGACCGCAAGGUUGAAACUCAAAGGAAUUGACGGGGGCCCGCACAAGCGGAGGAACAUGUGGUUUAAUUCGAUGGUACGCGAGGAACCUUACCUGGGUUUGAACGUAGGAUGACAGUCGCCGAAAGGUGAUCUUCCAGCAAUGGACAGCCUACGAGGUGCUGCAUGGUUGUCGUCAGCUCGUGCCGUGAGGUGUCGGGUUAAGUCCCAUAACGAGCGCAACCCCUAUCAUUAGUUGCCAGCGGGUAAUGCCGGGCACUCUAGUGAAACUGCCAGCGUAAGCUGUGAGGAAGGUGGGGAUGACGUCAAAUCAGCACGGCCCUUAUAUCCAGGGCUACACACGUGUUACAAUGGUCGGUACAGAGGGCAGCCACUUGGUGACAAGGAGCUAAUCCCUAAAGCCGAUCUCAGUUCGGAUCGGAGUCUGCAACCCGACUCCGUGAAGCUGGAUUCGCUAGUAAUCGCGCAUCAGCCAUGGCGCGGUGAAUACGUUCCCGGGCCUUGUACACACCGCCCGUCAAGCCAUGGGAGCUGGGGGUACCUAAAGUCUGCAACCGCAAGGAGCGGCCUAGGGUAAAACCAGUGACUGGGGCUAAGUCGUAACAAGGUAGCCGUACCGGAAGGUGCGGCUGGAACACCUCCUUUCUAGAG